rnacentral:rRNA from 1 species
GACGAACCGUGCGAACGUUGUUCGGAAUCACUGGGCUUAAAGGGCGCGUAGGCGGCUCGUCAAGUCUGGGGUGAAAUCCUGCAGCUUAACUGUAGAAGAGCCUUAGAUACUGGCGAGCUCGAGGGAGGUAGGGGUGCGUGGAACUUCUGGUGGAGCGGUGAAAUGCGUUGAUAUCAGAAGGAACGCCGGUGGCGAAAGCGACGCACUGGAUCUCUACUGACGCUGAGGCGCGAAAGCUAGGGGAGCAAACGGG